rnacentral:rRNA from 1 species
UACAGAGGGUGCAAGCGUUGUUCGGAAUUAUUGGGCGUAAAGGGCGCGUAGGCGGUGCCACAAGUCACCUGUGAAAUCUCCGGGCUUAACUCGGAGCCUGCAGGCGAAACUGUGGUGCUGGAGUGUGGGAGAGGUGCGUGGAAUUCCCGGUGUAGCGGUGAAAUGCGUAGAUAUUGGGAGGAACACCAGUGGCGAAGGCGGCUCACUGGACCGGUACUGACGCUGAUGCGCGAAAGCGUGGGGAGCAAACGGG